GUGAAUAGUGGCCUCCUGGGUAAAUGAAGGUGGUGGCGAAAUGCGGUCACCUCGCUGCUCCCAAAUAUGGACCUGCUGCUGGAGCCAUCCAUAAAUAUAUUGUCCACCCUGAUACGGUCAUCCCGCUGAUAGUGUGUAAGGGACCUAUGAAGGCUCCCCUGGUAUAGGAUGGGGACAGUGAAACUAGCGAAGCACACGCUCUGUGGCAUGAUACUCAACCAUAUCAAAGAAGAUCAUCGGGACCGAGGUGGCCAAAGCAGUCGGUCGACUGAGCAAUAAUAGGGCAACUGAGCUAGCAACUCGUCGCUGUAUGGCGUCCAGAUGAA
rnacentral:lncRNA from 1 species